AUUUCUUCGGAAUGACGAGGUUUGUGACUGAGCGGCGGACGGGUGAGUAACGCGUGGGCAACCUGCCUCACACAGGGGGAUAACAGUUAGAAAUGACUGCUAAUACCGCAUAAGACCACGAAACCGCAUGGUACGGUGUGAAAAACUCCGGUGGUAUGAGAUGGACUCGCGUCCGAUUAGCCAGUUGGCGGGGUAACGGCCCACCAAAGCGACGAUCAGUAGCCGGUCUGAGAGGAUGAACGGCCACAUUGGGACUGAGACACGGCCCAGACUCC
rnacentral:rRNA from 1 species